rnacentral:rRNA from 1 species
ACGGCUCAGUAACACGUCGACAACCUAACCUAUGGAGGGGGAUAACCCCGGGAAACUGGGGAUAAUACCCCAUAGACUAUGGAUGCUGGAAUGCUCUGUAGUUGAAAGGUCCGCCGCCAUAGGAUGGGUCUGCGGCCGAUUAGGUUGUUGUUGGGGUAACGGCCCAACAAGCCUGUAAUCGGUACGGGUUGUGGGAGCAAGAGCCCGGAGAUGGAUUCUGAGACACGAAUCCAGGCCCUACGGGGCGCAGCAGGCGCGAAAACUUUACAAUGCGGGAAACCGUGAUAAGGGAACUCCGAGUGCCCGUAAAAUCGGGCUGUCCAUCUGUUUAAAUAACAGGUGAAGAAAGGGCCGGGCAAGACCGGUGCCAGCCGCCGCGGUAAUACCGGCGGCUCGAGUGGUGGCCACUAUUACUGGGCUUAAAGCGUUCGUAGCUGGUUUGUUAAGUCUCUGGGGAAAUCUGCCGGCUCAACCGGCAGGCGUUCCAGGGAUACUGGCAGACUAGGGACCGGGAGAGGUGAGGGGUACUCCAGGGGUAGGAGUGAAAUCCUGUAAUCCUUGGGGGACCACCUGUGGCGAAGGCGCCUCACCAGAACGGCUCCGACAGUGAGGGACGAAAGCUGGGGGAGCAAACCGGAUUAGAUACCCGGGUAGUCCCAGCCGUAAACGAUGCGCGUUAGGUGUAUCGGUGACCACGAGUCACCGAGGUGCCGAAGAGAAAUCGUGAAAC